rnacentral:rRNA from 1 species
CCUACGGGUGGCAGCAGUGGGGAAUAUUGGGCAAUGGGCGCAAGCCUGACCCAGCAACGCCGCGUGAAGGAAGAAGGCUUUCGGGUUGUAAACUUCUUUUGUCAGGGAAGAAGAAUGACGGUACCUCGUAAGAAAGCCCCGGCAAACUACGUGCCAGCAGCCGCGGUAAUACGUAGGGGGCGAGCGUUGUCCGGAAUGACUGGGCGUAAAGGGAGUGUAGGCGGCAUAUUAAGUUAUGUGUGAAAGCCCGCGGCUCAACCGCGGAAUUGCACAUAAAACUGGUAAGCUGGAGUGCAGGAGAGGUAAGUGGAAUUCCCGGUGUAGCGGUGGAAUGCGUAGAUAUCGGGAGGAACACCAGCGGCGAAGGCGACUUACUGGACUGUAACUGACGCUGAGGCUCGAAAGCGUGGGGAGCAAACAGGAUUAGAUACCCGUGUAGUC